rnacentral:tRNA from 1 species
ACCUGACUGGCUCAGUAGGAAGAGUGUGUGACUCUUGACCUCAGGGUCAUGAGUUCGAGCCCAAUGUUGGGUG